CAAUAGCGUAUAUUUAAGUUGUUGCAGUUAAAGAGCUCGUAGUUGGAUUUCUGCUGAUCGCUGUCGGUCUGCCGUCAGGUGUGUACUGGCAGUGUUUGGCAUCUAUUCGAGAUUGGGUGUCCACUUGAUUGUGUGCACUCGAUGUCGGAGCUAAUACUUUGAGAAAAUUAGAGUGUUCCACGCAGGCGCGUGCCUUGAAUACUGCAGCAUGGGAUAUUGGAAGGCCGAUUGAGCUUUCUUGUUGGUUCUCGGUUUGAUCGGAAUGAUUAAUAGGGAUAGUUGGGGGCAUUCGUAUUCAACUGUCAGAGGUGAAAUUCUUGGAUUUGUUGAAGACGGACUACUGCGAAAGCAUCUGCCAUGGAUGUUCUCAUUGA
rnacentral:rRNA from 1 species